GUUUCCGAGGCGAUGCCCGCCUUGGUGGUGUCCAGCACAAGAUGCGGCAUUUGCUUCUUCUCAAUGCUGGCCACAUACUUGUUGCAGACUGACAAUAUUUUGGCAUCCGUUUUGUUAGCCUCGAUGGACUCGAUUUGCACCGAUAAGCCGUAGCUGGGAUUCUUCUUCAGAUAGGCAACCCAAAGCUGACCGCACCGCACGAACCACCAUCGGGAACUGACACUCGCCGCGGCGUGGUGCUGCUUUGUGUAGACAUGUGUGUAUCCUUGGUGAUAAUCAAUUGUCUGCCUGCCCUCACCUGACCGCCUAAUCUAUUGUUCGUGGCGCUAAUUGGGUCAGGCUUUGGAUGAUUGUCACAAUGCUUCCUCCGAGCGCCAAAUAUGAGUCCGUGACUUUCGCUUUUAUCAUGAUAAGAUCUAUUUCAUUUCGUGAUAAAUUAGUAUCAUGAAUUUGCGAACAUGUCAUAUAUUAUUUAAGUUAACAAUGUUUUGUCUUAAAU
rnacentral:sRNA from 1 species